rnacentral:tRNA from 8 species
GCCGAAGUAGCUCAGUGGUAGAGUAGCUGAUUCGUAAUCAGUUGGUCGUGGGUUCAAAUCCCAUCUUCGGCU